rnacentral:rRNA from 1 species
UACGUAGGUGGCAAGCGUUAUCCGGAUUUAUUGGGUUUAAAGGGUGCGUAGGCGGACGCUUAAGUCAGCGGUAAAAUUGCGGGGCUCAACCUCGUCGAGCCGUUGAAACUGGGUGCCUUGAGUGGGCGAGAAGUACGCGGAAUGCGUGGUGUAGCGGUGAAAUGCAUAGAUAUCACGCAGAACUCCGAUUGCGAAGGCAGCGUACCGGCGCCCAACUGACGCUGAAGCACGAAGGCGCGGGUAUCGAACAGG